rnacentral:rRNA from 1 species
CUGGCGGCAGGCCUAACACAUGCAAGUCGAACGGUAACAGGAAGAAGCUUGCUUCUUUGCUGACGAGUGGCGGACGGGUGAGUAAUGUCUGGGAAACUGCCUGAUGGAGGGGGAUAACUACUGGAAACGGUAGCUAAUACCGCAUAACGUCGCAAGACCAAAGAGGGGGACCUUCGGGCCUCUUGCCAUCGGAUGUGCCCAGAUGGGAUUAGCUAGUAGGUGGGGUAACGGCUCACCUAGGCGACGAUCCCUAGCUGGUCUGAGAGGAUGACCAGCCACACUGGAACUGAGACACGGUCCAGACUCCUACGGGAGGCAGCAGUGGGGAAUAUUGCACAAUGGGCGCAAGCCUGAUGCAGCCAUGCCGCGUGUAUGAAGAAGGCCUUCGGGUUGUAAAGUACUUUCAGCGGGGAGGAAGGGAGUAAAGUUAAUACCUUUGCUCAUUGACGUUACCCGCAGAAGAAGCACCGGCUAACUCCGUGCCAGCAGCCGCGGUAAUACGGAGGGUGCAAGCGUUAAUCGGAAUUACUGGGCGUAAAGCGCACGCAGGCGGUUUGUUAAGUCAGAUGUGAAAUCCCCGGGCUCAACCUGGGAACUGCAUCUGAUACUGGCAAGCUUGAGUCUCGUAGAGGGGGGUAGAAUUCCAGGUGUACCGGUGAAAUGCGUAGAGAUCUGGAGGAAUACCGGUGGCGAAGGCGGCCCCCUGGACGAAGACUGACGCUCAGGUGCGAAAGCGUGGAGAGCAAACAGGAUUAGAUACCCUGGUAGUCCACGCCGUAAACGAUGUCGACUUGGAGGUUGUGCCCUUGAGGCGUGGCUUCCGGAGCUAACGCGUUAAGUCGACCGCCUGGGGAGUACGGCCGCAAGGUUAAAACUCAAAUGAAUUGACGGGGGCCCGCACAAGCGGUGGAGCAUGUGGUUUAAUUCGAUGCAACGCGAAGAACCUUACCUGGUCUUGACAUCCACGGAAGUUUUCAGAGAUGAGAAUGUGCCUUCGGGAACCGUGAGACAGGUGCUGCAUGGCUGUCGUCAGCUCGUGUUGUGAAAUGUUGGGUUAAGUCCCGCAACGAGCGCAACCCUUAUCCUUUGUUGCCAGCGGUCCGGCCGGGAACUCAAAGGAGACUGCCAGUGAUAAACUGGAGGAAGGUGGGGAUGACGUCAAGUCAUCAUGGCCCUUACGACCAGGGCUACACACGUGCUACAAUGGCGCAUACAAAGAGAAGCGACCUCGCGAGAGCAAGCGGACCUCAUAAAGUGCGUCGUAGUCCGGAUUGGAGUCUGCAACUCGACUCCAUGAAGUCGGAAUCGCUAGUAAUCGUGGAUCAGAAUGCCACGGUGAAUACGUUCCCGGGCCUUGUACACACCGCCCGUCACACCAUGGGAGUGGGUUGCAAAAGAAGUAAGUAGCUUAACCUUCGGGAGGGCGCUUACCAC